AAAAUCGGGACAGAGGGUGGGGGGUAAUAGGAACCUAGAUAAGAAAAAGUCCCAAAUAUUAGGACUGUCCCUAUAAAAUCGAGACAUCUGGUCACCCUAGCUGAAUGUAACAUUGCAGUUACAGGGCCAAGUUCAGAAAUGACUCUAGGCUGGUGUCAUUUACACAGUGGGAUGCCAAAGAAGGUGUGAGUGACACUAACAAACUCCUGACCACUUACAUCCUGUCACGUGUCACCACUGAAUUUGCCUCACCGAGUGGGUCUAGGUUGGUGAAACCUCACAAGCCAAGGAGUCAGAAGAGAUGAGUGUAGCAAGGAAAAACAGCUGCUAGGAGGGGAUAAGGUGCAUGUUCAAGUAGUGCCCAGCCAGCUUUAAACUCACCCACUCUUCCAGCUCAUCACUGUGCAAGGUUUUCUAGUGGGCCUGGGAGAUGCUCAGGGCCUCGGCCGGGCAACCUCUGCUCCUGCUGAGCUCAAUGGAAGCUGUAUCUGCUUGAUUUGUGCUGGUUCCAGCAGAGGGCGCCCUGCUGCAAAGAAUGGUGUCUCUCUGCUGCUCAAAUAUUCCAGGACAACUUGUUCAGCGGGUGUGUUUUGUACCCAGUUAUCACAGGGCCAGUGUGGAACAACGAGGUCAGCAGAGGCUCUGGUUUGAACAGUCCCCCUCUGUGCGGGUGUAAAUCACGCCAAUCGGGGAAAGGCCUCUGGCUUUAAGGAAGUGGGUUCCCAUUUCCCACCCCGCACCCCGGCGCCUGCAGAGAUACACAUCCGUCCCAGCGGCUGCAUGUGCUUUCCAUCCAACCCUCCCCAGAGUAGCUGCUCCGGUGCCUUGAUGCCCCUGCUCCAGCCCUGGGCCGUACAGCUCCCUUGGCAGGGCACCCUUCUUCGGGGUGUUUGAUCUUAAAUACCCACAGCUGCGCUAAAUCCCUCCCAGCUGGCAGUGCCUCCCUGAGUUCCAGAUGAAAACCCCCAAAAACCUGGCUUGGUGGAGCCACUUCCUGUGGUCAGUGCUGGGGUGGGGUCCCUUCCAGGGUGUGCCCAAACACCCCAUCUCACUAGAGCACUCGCUUACCCGGCUUCUUCCAUUGCCCAGGCAUUUAUCAGACCGAUCCCGGUACUGACUGGGGAGCAACCGCCUGAAGGAAGACGCAGGGCCAUGAAGGCCACAAGAGUAAAACUUGCCAGACUGAGAACACAGCUCCAGGCAGCGGGUCUGCAAAUGAGGUGGGAAUGCGAGGCUGGUGUGAAGAGAGCUGCUCACACCUGGGAGCUACGUACACUAUGUGUCAGUCACUAAGGAGAAAUCACAUGCACAGCAACUCCGGGUGGGAUGGGCAAAGGUUGGGGCCCUUUGUGUAAGCCUCCCCCUCAGGAACAUAGGCCUGGAAUGGACCUCCUGGCUCCUCAAGUCCAGCCCCGUCACAUCGUUCUCUUCCUAAAUUUACCAAGCUCCAUCUUAAAACUAGCUAGUUUUAAGCUUGUUUGCCCAGGAUGAAAGUCAUCUUGUUACCCCCCUGCCUCCAGAGUGCUCCUGUAUAACACACAGCACUGGUACUGAAACAAAUGAAGGGUUAGUUAAGGAAGGACAGAGAUUCCAGUAGAAACAAGAGUGUGUGAUGGGAACAAAUGGCUACACUACAAAACAAAAUCCUAAAAUGUGAACUAGGAUGGAGGCUUAUUAACAGUUCCCUUUCCUAACUUAAAACAGAGGUUUUGCCCCAACGUUCAGUCUGUUGCAGAGCUGGCUGGCUUCACUGGAACCAGGAUCCCAUCUUCCAUGAAACACCCCUUCACAACGUGAUCUCUGUUCCCUAGCGCAUCCUCGCAGCCCUUCUUUGCACCUGUUCCAGGUCGGAUUCCUCUUUCUUGAACACGGAUGACCAGACCUGUGCACGCUAUUCCAGCUGAGGUCCCACUGCCUGGUACAAUGGCAGCAGGCUCAAGAACCCUUGAGCUGCCAGCACCUGAAGGCUACUGACUAUUGCCUCUGAUCCUACGAUGAGAUCUCACAAGAGGUUCGUGGCAGGACCAGGGCCUAGGCCAGCUAUUUGGGUGAGUGAAUUGCUCUUCUCCAGAUAGGGA
rnacentral:lncRNA from 1 species